GGCGGUGCUGGCUGAGGACUCAGCGACCAGUGCAGGGAAGGAAACGUGGUGGGAGAGCCACCUCACUGUGCCAUGCACUGGCAGCCGUGCUCAGAGGCCUGCAGUACAGGUGUAUUUCUAGGUACAUCAGCCCCCGGUACAACAGCACAGCGCUGCUGAAAUGCUGUCAACCACAGCAGCUUGUGGUGUACACUUAGGUUGGAAAAGCAGCCAGCGGCUUCAUGGUACCUCAUAUGGCGUUCACUCCUGUUUGCUAGGUCUUGCCAGUGUGCUGAUGGGAAUGUUUUUCUAUUUAAUUUCCCCGCUGUUUGAAAGAGGUGUUUGACAACCUGUGGUGCACACAAUAUGCCUCUGUGGCAGUCCUGGAGCCCCGGUUCUGCUCGGCCGCCAGGCAGAGUGCUCCACUGGCAGCAGGGAGGGAUGUUCCUGCUGCUCACCUUAUGCUCCUUAAUUGUCUUCUGCUUCUGUGCCUAUUGAAUCCCAGGCUUCUCUGCUGGACUGCCACCAGCUCAGCUGUGUUUUGGUAAUACCUGCUCACUGAGAAGUGGACAAAAUGCUGUAAAAAGCCAAUUUACAUGAGCCACUGACAAUGUUAGCUUAGCACCAACCUGUGUCUGACUGUUAGCUUGCACAAGAAGUGAAGAGGCUUUUAAACCCUCGCCGCUCUCUGAAAGUGACAUUAGUGGUCUUCCAUUCAGGAUCAUUAAUUGCUUCAUUCAGUUUCUGAUGAAGCUUUGGGCAAAAAUGUUUAAAUUCAGCGGUGAAACAUACAGCUGGACAUAUUUAUAUAAGCCCACUAUGUUUAACGUUACUGUUACUUAUUUAAAACUUCUCAGCUGUGUGUGGGAGUUGCACAUUCAAGAAUUUAAUUUGUAUCCAGAUAUAGAAAACAAGCAUGAGUUCCUACUGGGGUAAUAAUAUUUGCUGAUCGUUUCUUUCCUCUUCCAUGAAUUCUCUUUCCAUCUUUACAGAGCAUACGGUCCUCUUUGGGGACUCCAGCUGUGCCUGGAUUUAAAUUAUUAAACUGAAUUAAGUAUAACCAUCGGAGUUUGUAAAAAAUAAAAUUGUAUACAUGUUUCACAAAACAUUAAAUCACCUUUUGUUAAAAAAGAAAAAAGAAAAGAAAAAGAAGAAGAAAAAGAAAAAGAAAGAAAGAAAGAAAAAACACCACUUUGUUGUUGUUUAGAUAAGAUUUUACUUAAGUUACUCUGCUGUGGACUAAGGCCAAGGUUGAGAGCUUCAGCUACUACUGUUAAAAACAGUGACAAUAGAUUUAGAAUUUCCCACCAUAAUGCACUAUACUGGUGUUUUAAUAAAAUUACCAGUAUUUUAUCUCAUGAACAAUUGAUCAUUCUGAUCCACAUAACAAAUAAUGCAUCCUUAUCAUAAUUAAUACAAAAGCCUCCCUGUAACUGAUGUCCUCUCUCAUGAACUCUCCAACGCACCUGUGUUAUGCAUGAGUUUGUUGAGAUUGUUGUAGCUUUCACUGGUGUGAAAUUGUUCUUUGGCAAAGUUUGCUGCAAAUUGCCCAAUGCAUUUACCAAUGCAGCUGGGUAACAGAUGGGUGUGGGAAAUUUAUAGCAACUAUUGUUCCCAUUAUUGAUCUGCCAUAGCUGUAACAUUAGUUUCAGUGUAAGACGCUAUAUUGCUUACAGUUUUAGCCAUCAAAAAUAAAAACCUAGCCAAAGAUUACUGAAACUAUAGAUAGCUGGACUACAGCUCCUGAAGACAUAUUGCACAGAUAAGAUACAACUGUCUAUGUAAAAUAAGAAAAUACCAGUAGUUAUCCCCGGGAUUUAGAAUUGCUAUAAAUAUCAAGGCAGUAUUUAGAUUACAGCUUCAACAGAGUCCCCAGCAACAUUAAUUCCCAGGGAUGUUAUCCCAGUUACCCUGUAAUUACAGAUUAAGUGCACAGAGUACAAAAUAUAGAGUUACAUAAUGAGUCUUUCAAGUGAUACUCUGCAAGUGAUCCCAGUGAAAGUUUAAACAAAUUCUUUAUACACAACUUCACAUUAGACGUGAAGUCCAAAAUUCUCUCACUGAAAUUUCUGUUUUUGAAUUUGAAUAGCAAUGUGAGUAAACACUGAGUAAACUAAACUGAAGCCCUCUCUAAAUCUGUAUCUUUUGAGAGUUUAAAUGUGCUAAGCAACACAUAUUUAGUUGUUCAGUGUUUACUGCUGGUUUUCCCUGUUCUUACUAAUGUUGUUUGUUACAUUCAUGUCUUUCAACUUUUCUGACUAGACUGAAAGGCCUCCCGAGUUAACACUUCUCAUUAAAUGCUGACGUACGGGAACACUGGGUCUUGACUUGGUCAGAAUUGGGACUUUUGGACACCACUGCAAUACAAACAUUAAAGUCAUAAUUGCCCAAAAGACAUAUAGAGACAAUGGGUAGUCUUUUCUAUAAUCAGUGCAUAUUGAAGUUUUGCCAUUUAUUUUAGGGAUACUCUAUAAUUUAUAUUUGUCCAUGAUCCAUCCAAAGUAGAAUGUUUUGAUUGAUCUGAUUCACAACAGGAUUAUACCACAAUUAUACUGGUGAAAUCAAUUUAAGACAACAACAAAAAGGUACAAUUCAGUGGCAAUUAAGGCCCAGAAGUAUGUUGUUACAAAUUCCUUAAUGUAUAAUGCCUAUCUCCUAUAUUUUUAGAAAAGUUAAUUAAACCAUCUUUGUUCAGUUUAAUGUUGAAACAAUGAAAAACUGGCACUAACUGAAUAUUGUGUUAUGCCAUAGAAAGAAGUUUUAUCUAUGCUGGGCUCUAUUGCUUUCAAAUAGUAAAGUGUCAAAUAUAGCAGUGAACAUAAAUGUAUUAUGGAACUAAGUUUUACAGUAUUACGCAAGUAGCAAUAGGAAACCUUUGUAACACCACAACCUGUUUUGUAUAUACUGUGUCCAGAAAUGGUUAGGAAUGUUUUAGAGUUAUUUUUAAACAUUUAAUUGUGACUUUUUGUUUGUAUUUCUCUUCCUUGGUUACCAUGGGUGAGCUCCUGAGUUCUGGCUGAGGAGCAGUUGGCAUGGUGUUUCGUAAGGAGAAGAAAAGACAAAAAGAUGAAGUUAAGGCACCUUUACUCUUCCCUGAUUUGGACUGCUUCACUCCUGGACAGUCUCCUUAGCACUGACUUCAAGCUAUGCUGCAGCCUCUUAGCCUAAAAGCUUGUUUUGACAGCUGAUGCCCUCACAUAAAUCAUGUGCUGGUCAAAACAAACAGAAAGGAAUGAAAACUGCAGCCAUGUCGUGUGAGGAUAGGGACCUCUGUGGAUCGUAGCCAUCAGUCCCUCACUCAGAAGCUGGCCAUGCUAAAGACAGACUUAAGCAUGAAGUUGUCAAGAAUGUGCUUAAAAUGAGCAUGGAAAUCUAUGCCCUCCCAGCCAUAUGCAACUGGUCUUCAGAGGAGAUUAGAUGGCUUCUGUUCCAUCCCAUACAGAAAUCAUUCUCUCUAUCACUCCCUAUUCAAUAUAGAAAGCAUUUUACUUUUGAUGGAUCACAGUCAUCAACAUGAUACUGUAAAAAAUGAAUAAGGUAUUUUAAAUACAGAAGAAUGUUAGACAUAUUCUUUUCAGAAGGCAAAUGAUCAUCUUAUUUUUCUUACUACUCUUUUUGCUGCAAUACUCCCCUUCACACACAAAUAUGCAGACCAUUCCUUUCCUAUGAGUUCUGUCAUCCCAUAAUAGUUUCCAUGAAGAAUGAAAUCAACUGGAGUGCAGUGGUGAGUUGUCUCUUAUUCAUGGGACUGCAAUAAAAAGGGGUGUGUUCAGCCACCACUGAAUACUGAAGACCUCCAUCUCCCUCUGGAACUGAAUGAAAUAGUUCAGCUCCAGACCUUCAGAGAAGGACUGGCCUAUGAAGGAUGUAUUAACUGGUCCCAAGUAAAGAAUGCUGCCUAGGGAAAAGGAAAGUAAGUCCAGGCAGGCCAUGGUGGAGCAAGUUGGAUAGAAGUUCCACACAUCCAAACAUCAUGUAGCUGCCCCAGCAUUUGUAUUGCUUUCUCAUGCACAGCAUAGACUAGCAAAUUCCAGUCAUGCUGACUGUAUAUACAGGCUUCUGGAGACAAGGAAAAAAACAUAAGUUAGUUCUCUUGUAACCAAAGGAUCAGAACUAUGAGUAUUGUGGGAGUAAUUUCUGAGACAAGAAAUGUAAAUAGAAAAUCAAUUAAGAAGACUGCAAGGUAGGGAGGAGCUGCUGACACUGAGAAACUUCAGAAGUAAUUUUUAAGAGGUUGUAUCUAUUAGUGGCUACUGAGGAAAUGGAUGUGAACAGCUACUAUGUAAUAAUUUACAGCUGGGAAGAGAUGGAGAAGAUAGACAACAGUAAAUAUUAUCAUAUGGAGCAAAAAUAUAUCCAGUGGUCUUCUCAAAGCCUCGGGAGAACAAGGGAGCAGCUGAAAAAGAAAAUUAAAGGAGACAAACUCAUGCUGUAGCAUAGAGACUGCAAAUAAACAGGCGUUCUACAAAAUCAGUCAGAAGCAAAAAGCUGGGAAAUGCAAUUAAGGUGAACACCAUGUGAGGCAGAAAGCUGCCAUGUCCACUUUCAUACUGUCCCGACAGUAGUCAUACAAUCCCUUCAUCAAUUAGUCUGUGUCUUUGAGAUAGACUAAGGUUUUCCUCUUAUAAUUUUAUUGGAAAGCAGAAAUGUUGGUCUGAUGGAAAAGGAGGUCAACAUAAAUAAAGGAGAGGGAGAAGUUAUUAAGACUAUAAAGGAGAGGAAGGUAAGCAAAUGAAGGGACAGAAAGAAGGGAAGAGUAAGAAGAGAACAGAAGAGAUGGAGAAGUAAUAACUAGCACAUCACUCCAAAAAGAAAACCCUUGACCUAUGCAAAUAGACCAGUCCAUUUAAUGAAAUAAAUGUAUUUAGGGGAAAAAAAAAAAGAAAAAAGAAAAAUCUUUGAGACUUCUGGCAAAAGAUUUAAAUGGGAUUUCAGUACUUUCCCAUUUUUGGCCUGACACUGCUCUGUUGAAGCUUUGUUGGAGCCUUGUGGUUGUUUACAGCCACUUGAGGAUUAAAGACUGAAUAUGUAUUAGAGAUUUCCGAAUAAAAGGCUGGAACCUAGGUCCAAUAAAAGUAUUUUUGCAUUUCAUUCCAUUUGUUUUAUGGAAAGUAAAAUUCCUAAAUAAAUCUGUUUCGAGCUGGAUUUCUCACUCACUGAAAAACCAGUUACAGUGGAGGUUCUAGAAUUCUGCUAAUUUAUACCAGUUAAUAAUUCUCAUCACAGCUUUAGGAAAAAUCAAUUGUGCCAGUGCCAUAGUGCAGCAAUCACAACCUGUCUAAGUUAAUGGUAUUUUACUUGAAGUUAGCAAGAUAUAUUUGGAAUUCCCAAUUAAGUGCCCAGUUUGAAGAAUUUAAUUGGAAUAUAUUUCAGUUGUUCUCUCAUGCUUGAAAUUAAUUAGCCAGGUGUUAAGUAUAACUUCUUUUCCUGAAAGUGUAAAGCUGAGGCAAUCACAUGAAUCAUAUGGCACAGUCUUAUUUUUGUGUGUAACUUGCCACUUUUUAGCUUAUUGAAGUACUAAACUGUGUAAAAAUGUAAAGAUAUUUAUAAUUUUUUAUGUUUUGAAUACUUCUUGCAAUUGUCAUUGCUUGACUACCGAACAAUAAAAGAACUACUUUCAAUUAA